rnacentral:rRNA from 1 species
UACGUAGGGUGCAAGCGUUUAAUCGGAAUUACUGGGCGUAAAGCGUGCGCAGGCGGUUAUGUAAGACAGGUGUGAAAAUCCCCGGGCUUAACCUGGGAACUGCAUUUGUGACUGCAUAGCUAGAGUACGGUAGAGGGGGAUGGAAUUCCGCGUGUAGCAGUGAAAUGCGUAGAUAUCGUGAGGAAGACCAGUGGCGAAGGCGGGUCUCUGGACAGUUCCUGACGCUGAGGCGCGAAGGCCAGGGGAGCAAACGGG